UGAUCACCAAGCGUGGCAGUGGCUCUCUGAGAUACCACCGUUAAUAUGCAAAAUCUCCCAUCAAUAACAAGUUGGAUCUUAAGACCCCAUAUACCGCUUCAUCAACCAGAUCAAGAAAUCUCCCUCUCCAUGACGAUGCAAAUAAUCUGGAGAUAAACUAGAAUAAAACCCACACAAAAACAACUUGUAGAGAUGAUGAGGGAAAUCAAUAUGACAAGUGGAUGAACAAGACUAUACAGCCAUUCCUUCCCCUGUACUAGACAGGGAAAGAUACCAAAAAAUAUCACAGCUUUACCAGAAAAUGAC
rnacentral:lncRNA from 1 species